rnacentral:rRNA from 1 species
UACGUAGGGUGCGAGCGUUAAUCGGAAUUACUGGGCGUAAAGUGUGCGCAGGUGGCCGCGCAAGUCGAGUGUGAAAUCCCCGGGCUUAACUUGGGAAUUGCGCUCGAAACUACGUGGCUCGAGUAUGGCAGAGGAAGGUGGAAUUCCACGUGUAGCGGUGAAAUGCGCAGACUAUCAGGAGGAACACCAGCGGCGAAGGCGGCGCUCUGGGCUGGAACUGACGCUGAGGAGCGAAAGCGUGGGGAGCGAACAGG